rnacentral:rRNA from 1 species
GCUGGCGGCGUGCCUAUCAUGCAAGUCGAGCGCGGGAAGCAAGCAGAUCUCCUUCGGGAGUGACGCUUGUGGAACGAGCGGCGGACGGGUGAGUAACACGUGGGCAACCUACCUGUAAGACUGGGAUAACUCCGGGAAACCGGGGCUAAUACCGGAUGAAACAAAGCGUCGCAUGACGCAAUGUUAAAAGGCGGCAUAUGCUGUCACUUACAGAUGGGCCCGCGGCGCAUUAGCUAGUUGGUGAGGUAAAGGCUCACCAAGGCAACGAUGCGUAGCCGACCUGAGAGGGUGAUCGGCCACACUGGGACUGAGACACGGCCCAGACUCCUACGGGAGGCAGCAGUAGGGAAUCUUCCGCAAUGGACGAAAGUCUGACGGAGCAACGCCGCGUGAGUGAUGAAGGUUUUCGGAUCGUAAAACUCUGUUGUUAGGGAAGAACAAGUGCCAUUCGAAUAGGUUGGCACCUUGACGGUACCUAACCAGAAAGCCCCGGCUAACUACGUGCCAGCAGCCGCGGUAAUACGUAGGGGGCAAGCGUUGUCCGGAAUUAUUGGGCGUAAAGCGCGCGCAGGCGGUCCUUUAAGUCUGAUGUGAAAGCCCACGGCUUAACCGUGGAGGGCCAUUGGAAACUGGAGGACUUGAGUACAGAAGAGGAAAGUGGAAUUCCACGUGUAGCGGUGAAAUUGCGUAAAGAUGUGGAAGGAACACCAGUGGCGAAGGCGACUCUCUGGUCUGUAACUGACGCUGAGGUGC